CCCUCCUCAGAGUUGCGGGUCGCUUCUGCUGGCGUCGGGUCGCUCCCUUCCCUGGUGUAAGCGGCAACUCUUCCUGGAAGCGAGUGAACCGACGGGAUUUCCUCUCAGCGGAGGAUAAUGGAACCAGUACCCAGGCCAGAUUUGGAAAACUGAAGCUCAGUGAGGAUCCUUUUUUCCCCAAGGUCACACAGUGGCAUUUUGUUAUAUCAACAGAAAACGGACUAAUAGAACUGCAACAGAGGAUGGUAACUAUCGCUUCUUGACCUUUUGGCUAAGAUCAUGUGCAGAGGAUGG